UGCAACGAAAGUAACGGUAUGAAGUUCCAUGAAAGAUUCAAGAGACAAAGGCUGUAACAUGUCAGAUUACGAGGCUGAAAUUGGCUCAAUAUUCAAUAAUAUUGAAAGCUUGAGUCAUCUAAAGUUGAUAUAUCGGGA